AGAACGAACGCUGGCGGCAUGCCUAAUACAUGCAAGUCGAACGAACUCUUCGGAGUUAGUGGCGCGCGGGUGCGUAACGCGUGGGAAUCUGCCCCUUGGUUCGGAAUAACAGUUGGAAACGACUGCUAAUACCGGAUGAUGACGAAAGUCCAAAGAUUUAUCGCCAAGGGAUGAGCCCGCGUAGGAUUAGCUAGUUGGUGAGGUAAAGGCUCACCAAGGCAACGAUCCUUAGCUGGUCUGAGAGGAUGAUCAAGCCACACUGGGACUGAGACCGACGGCCCAGACUCCGUACGGGAGGACCGAGCGAAGGUAGGGAAUAAGUUGGGAACAAGUUGGGACGAAAGCCUGAUCCAGCAAUGCCGCGUGUGUGAUGAACGCGUUAGGUUAGUAAAGUCUUACUUUACCGAG
rnacentral:rRNA from 1 species